CAUACAUUGACCAUGAUAAAUUAGAUAUGAUCGCAGAUGACACAGAAGUAGUUGAAAGAAAUAUUCUUAUAAAAUUUGGCCUUUUUGGAGAAGCCCUUUUAGAAAAAAUUGCAAAGAAACAAAAAAUUUUAAAUGAUGAUUUUCGAUUGUCUCACAUGAUUGAUCUUCUAGUGCACCUCCACAUUAUUGCUGAAGUAAGAGUUAAUCACCUCAACAUCAUCACUGAAGAUGUAGACUUUGAAAAAGAAAAGGUUCAUGUUGUCACCGAUGUCAAAAGUAACAAAGAAAAAAUUAAAUAUUUUUUUCCGUGUGCAUUACCAUCUUACGACAAGCUCAAUCCUGCCCUAACAGAAAUACAACCACUUCUCAUAGCAUGGGAGAUUAAGUACAGUGGGACAACAACUCUAGCCAUCCCUCAAGGAUUAUUUCCUUUAACCAUUGUACACCUUUUAGAGAGAAAAAAGGAAGAAGUUGACUUCAGUCCUGAUCGAGAUUCUCACAAAUUCUACAGAUAUCAUGAUGCCAUGUCACUUCGUGUUUACGAAAGAUACUUCAUUGAUAUCAUCAAUCGCUAUACACAUCUUGAAAUACAUUUUCGUGGCUAUAAGAAAUCUUAUUCACAGAUAGUUGCAGAAGUUCGUGAAUUAUUGAGAAAAGUUAUGGAAAAAAGUAGUAAAAAUCUUAAAGUUGAGGAAGAUACUAAGUUUAUCUUUGCUUUCAAAUGCCCCGAAAAAGGAACCUACUGCAUUGUCCGAGAAAAAGACAAAUCUAAAGGCAAAGCUUCUACAUGGUGUACUGAAUGUGUCUCACAAUGCAACGUACUAGAUUUAGAAAAUGAUGAUAGCUACAGAUGUUGGUUUAGUGAUCAAUUGUCCAGUCCAGGAAAUAAGUUUGCAUCAUUAGAAGGCCAAGACCCACCUACGAAGAAAUGUGGAGUGCAACACACUGAAUUAGAUACCAGUAAUCUUAUUCAUAUACUUGAUAUACUAAAGAAGCAUGGAUAUUCUGGUGUUGAUUAUUAUUACCUUGGUCUUCGUUUGGGACUGCUCCCUCGUACACUUGAUGUUAUUGAGGAAGAAAGCAAAGGAAAUGUUCGUAAUGGACUAAGAGAAUGUUUGAAGGCAUGGUUGGAACAAAAAGACAAUGUAAAGAGUGUUGGUGGUCCAACUUAUGAUACAUUAAUACAAGCAUUGAGGGAUGAGGAAGAGAAUGCUGUAGCUGAUGGGAUUGAAAAAGAUAUCAAUACAAAGAAAUGAGAUAGUUUCACUAGAAGUAACUCUCUAGGAUUCAUAUGCACAGCACACAUUAUUAUACAAAUAGUUUUCUUGCAAAAAUAAUGUUUUCAUUUUUUAAUUUUUUUUAUUCAUGUGAAAGCACGUGGUUUAAUUAUACGGAGUAUAAACGGAAAAUAUACAGAAGUGGGAAGAGGAGUCUUUUCUUCUUAAAGAAUGAGUUCCAUAUAUAUAACAGAGCCCCCUACUAAAGGAAAGGUACUAUUAAAGACCACACUGGGUGAUAUUGAUAUUGAACUGUGGUCCAAAGAGGCUCCUCUGGCCUGUCGUAACUUCAUACAAUUGUGUUUAGAAGAUUAUUAUAAUGAUACCAUAUUCCACAGAGUCGUUUUUGGUAAUGGA
rnacentral:misc_RNA from 1 species